GACGUAGGGUGCAAGCGUUGUCCGGAUUUACUGGGCGUAAAGAGCGCGUAGGCGGUCUGUUAAGUGUAGAGUGAAAUCUCCAGGGCUCAACCCGGAAACUGCUCUGCAUACUGGCAGACUGGAGGGACUGAGAGGUGAAUGGAAUUCCCGGUGUAGCAGUGAAAUGCGUAGAGAUCGGGAGGAACAUCAGUUGCGAAGGCGGCCACCUGGACCAGCACUGACACUGAGGCGCGAAAGCGUGGGGAGCAAACAGG
rnacentral:rRNA from 1 species